GCGGCGGGAGGCCGGGAGCUGAGGUGGUGUCCAAGUGCGGCAGAGGCGAGGCGGCAGGCAUGGAGGAGAAAGAGAGAAUGGAUAAGACGAGAAUAAAAGCGAAGGAAAAAAGAAUUAAGAAGAAAAGGGGGAAAAGGGAAAAAAAGGGUAUUAUGAGCACUUCACAUUUUUAUCCAUAUUACACAGUUAGGAGAAGCUAUUUUACCAAACGUUUUUUCAUCCAGACAAGUCGAAGCAAAAAAAAUAUUUCACCAAAGAAGCCACAACCACAACCGUUUCAGCCACAGCCGCAGCCCUAUCAAACGAGGCCUCAUUCUCAUACGUAUACUCUAACAGUUUUUAUGGAGAAAAACUAUGCCAUGAGAAGGUACAUGUCUUGUAUUCUUUACCUCAUGUUUGCACCAUAUUAUGUUGAUGGUCACACAUCACAAAAAAAUUGUGUUCUAUAUUUUGAUUCAGGUGGUUGAAUGUAACAUAAUUUCUUGUAUGUGAAGAACUAUUCAACCUGUUUCCACUUUCCCUAUUGAAUUUAUAUCCUGUGGUUUAUUUAUUUUUCAUGCAACAUGUACCUUAUACUCCUCAUAGCGCAUGCUCUGUUUUUCUGUUUGUUUUGUAUUUUUGAGUAAGUUACAUCAUGCUAAUAUCAGCUCAUACACUGCUGUCUGCUGGAAACGAGGAGUAAUCCAUUUUUCCAUCAGAAUAUUUGUGGCUUCUCAGCUCCUACACUGCUCACUUUUUCACUGCUGUGGAUAUGGCUGGUAUCAGGUUCCUGCAACUGAAUCCCUAUGGUGGCAGUGUGGCACUUGCACUUCAUCUUGUGCUGAACGCCUGAACCCAACAAGCUUCAAGCCAGUUUACAUUAAUGUUGUGUUCGAAUUGUCAAUGUGCAAGUGCAACCAUUCUAGUGGAACCUACCGUGGGCGCUAGAAAGAGCAGAAGGUUGGUAUGAGGUAUCCGGUUUGCUUUCUGAUGAAAAACAGUGUGUGAUUUCCCGUAAGGAAAAAGAAGUGUGAUACAUUCUCCAUUUUUUUUCUUUUGCGAGAUAAUCCCUUUUUUUAAGCUAUGUGCUGAACAUGAACACAUUGUUUUCCAACUCUAACCACAAAGCUAUCUUAACUCGAA